rnacentral:rRNA from 1 species
GAAAAGCACCCCGGAAGGGGAGUGAAACAGUUCCUGAAACCGUGUGCCUACAAGUAGUUAGAGCCCGUUAAUGGGUGAUAGCGUGCCUUUUGUAGAAUGAACCGGCGAGUUACGAUUUGUUGCAAGGUUAAGCGGAAAAAGCGGAGCCGUAGCGAAAGCGAGUCUGAAUAGGGCGCAUAAGUAACAGGUCGUAGACCCGAAACCAGGUGAUCUACCCAUGUCCAGGAUGAAGGUAAGGUAAUACUUACUGGAGGUCCGAACCCACGCACGUUGAAAAGUGCGGGGAUGAGGUGUGGGUAGCGGAGAAAUUCCAAUCGAACUUGGAGAUAGCUGGUUCUCUCCGAAAUAGCUUUAGGGCUAGCCUCGAGGUAAAGAGUCAUGGAGGUAGAGCACUGUUUGGACUAGGGGCCCUUCUCGGGUUACCGAAUUCAGAUAAACUCCGAAUGCCAUGUACUUAUACUCGGGAGUCAGACUGCGAGUGAUAAGAUCCGUAGUCGAAAGGGAAACAGCCCAGACCACCAGUUAAGGUCCCCAAAUAUAUGUUAAGUGGAAAAGGAUGUGGGGUUGCUUAGACAACCAGGAUGUUGGCUUAGAAGCAGCCACCAUUGAAAGAGUGCGUAAUAGCUCACUGGUCGAGUGACCCCGCGCCGAAAAUGUACCGGGGCUAAACAUAUUACCGAAACUGUGGAUGAACCUCUU